GAGCCUACGGGACGCAGCAGUGGGGAAUAUUGCGCAAUGGGGGAAACCCUGACGCAGCAACGCCGCGUGCGGGAUGAAGGCUUUCGGGUUGUAAACCGCUUUCAGCAGGGAAGAUAAUGACGGUACCUGCAGAAGAAGCCCCGGCUAACUACGUGCCAGCAGCCGCGGUAAUACGUAGGGGGCAAGCGUUAUCCGGAUUUAUUGGGUUUAAAGGGUGCGCAGGCGGCACGGCAAGCCGGCGGUCAAAUCGCGGGGCUCAACCCCGCCCAGCCGUCGGAACUGCCGGGCUAGAGUGGGCGAGAAGG
rnacentral:rRNA from 1 species